rnacentral:rRNA from 1 species
GGGUGUAGAAUAAGUGGGAGCUUCGGCGCCGUUGAAAUACCACUACCUUUAUCGUCUUUUUACUUAUACAAUGAGGCGGAGCUGGGAUGAACAGUCCCACCUUUUGGCUUCAAGGUCUUUUACAGGCCGAUCCGGGUUGA